GACGAACGCUGGCGGCGUGCUUAACACAUGCAAGUCUUACGGUAAGGCCCUGCUUUUGUGGCGUGCUCGAUUGCCGAUCGCGUUAGUUACACGUUAGUAUCCUGCCCUUUACUUUGUGAUAACUUCAGGACACUGGUGCUCCUUCCCCUUCCUAUCUCCUCCUGCUUGGUUUGGGUUGGCAAGUUUCGGUGGUUGGGGAUGGACUCGCGGCUUAUCAGCUUGUUGGUGGAGUAGUGGCUUACCAACUCUUUGGCGGGUAUCCGUCAUGCGAGGGAGACAGGACACAUUGGGACUGAGAUACGGCGCAGACUAGUACGGGAGGCAGCAGUGGGGAAUAGUGCACAAUGGGCGGAAGCCAGAUGCAGCAACGCAGCGAGCGGGAUGACGGCCUUCGGGUUGUAAACCGCUUUGGGAUGUGACGAAGCGUGAGUGACGGUAAUGGGUAAAGAAGCACCGGCUAACUACGUG
rnacentral:rRNA from 1 species